rnacentral:rRNA from 1 species
UACGGAGGAUGCAAGCGUUAUCCGGAUUUAUUGGGCGUAAAGCGUCCGCAGGUGGUUUUCCAAGUCUGCUGUUAAAGCGCGAGGCUUAACCUCGUACAGGCAGUGGAAACUGGAUGACUAGAGUAUGGUAGGGGUAGCGGGAAUUCCCAGUGUAGCGGUGAGAUGCGUAGAUAUUGGGAAGAACACCAGCGGCGAAAGCGCGCUACUGGGCCAUUACUGACACUCAUGGACGAAAGCUAGGGGAGCGAAAGGG